rnacentral:sRNA from 3 species
AGGUUUCCGUAGGUGAACCUGCGGAAGGAUCAUUGUCGAUAUCCAAGAGGAAGAAUGAGAACUUGUGAAGGUGCCUUUUGGGAGCAGAGGCAACAAAAAAACUGCGUAGCCUUCUUUCUCUCUACGACACCCCUCGCUGCUACUGCCCCCGCGUUAAAACGGGAUUGGUGGUGGGAACAUGACCCCGGUGCGUUCUGCACCAAGGAACAAUUUUGCUGGAUAGCAUUGCGUGCUUUGAUGCCUAGCUUUGUGGCAUGUGAUGUGAUCCUUGCUAACGUGAGAACAUGCAUGACUCUCGGCAACGGAUAUCUUGGCUCUUGCAUCGAUGAAGAACGUAGCAAAAUGCGAUACUUGGUGUGAAUUGCAGAAUCCCGUGAAUCAUCGAGUUUUUGAACGCAAGUAGCGCCCAAGGCCAUCUGGUUGAGGGCACGCCUGCCUGGGCGUCACACUUAGCGUCACUUCAUGCACCUAGUCAACAUCGGUUUACUUUGUGCUUGGAUGUGUAGAUUGGCCCCUUGAGCUUUUGUGGCAUUAUGGGCUGAAGUAUGGGCUUUGCCGCUAGUUCUAGACGCGGUGAGUGGUGGAUGGACUUUGUGCACGAUGCCUUUUCUCCGUGGACUAUAGAAACUAGCUUAAUAAGCGAAAAAAGAACCAAUGCAGAUGGAGCUUUAUUACAUCUUCAAACCAUGACCCCAGGUCAGGAGGGAACACCUGCUGAGC